UAUGCACAUGGACAAAACCCAAAUGACUUCUUAUCAAAGUGAGCCAUCAAUCCCAUAUACAGUUUCGGUGGGAAAGACUCCUUCUGGGAGACCAAAAACACCCUCUCACCAUCCUUCAAGGGGGCGAAUGGCACCUGCUUUUGAGAUAUCAAAAGCCAACCCUCUCUUGUUUGCUGCCAGUCCAGUUUUCUUCUCCUCUCAGGAUGUGCAUGGCUUGGUCGUAAACAACGAGCCAGAGAUAUACCAGUCACCAAUGACUGUAACCAAGACCUCAUCCGCAACUGAACCAGCAACACGAAUAGCACCUCACUCAGAUAUAUAUAGAUCCCAAAACAGUGUCAUUGAACCAACUAUGACAAAUGUAUCUUAUGCCUUCACCUCUUCACCUGAUAUACAUUCUUCAAUCAUAAACACACAGAGAUUUAUGUCCUCAAUGACUGUUGCCAGUAGAGUCAAAUCUCCCCCAUCAAAACCUAUUACCAGUGAAGCCCAAACACCCCCAGAAAUUGUUUUCACAAGUGUAGCCCAAACACCUUCAGCAACCCCUGUUUCUAGUAGAGUCAAAUCUCCCCCAGCGAGGCAUGUAACCUCUACAAACAACACUCCCUCAGGUGCCACAGAAUCAGCAAAACCUACUGGAUCUGCACCAGACAAACAUGCACAAGGUCUGACCAGUGUUGAUAGUACAAGUCAAACCAACAGAAUAUCCUCCAACAUGACAGGAUCUGUGGUCAACAUGUUUUCCACCUUUGCUUCCUCUCAAGACGUAAAUGCUUGGGUUGUAAAUGAGGAGUCUCAUAGAUCCAAGGAGGUAGAAGAUGCAUCUCACACAAGCAAGUCGAUGGCUAAUAUUUAUAAUGCCUUCACCUCCUCUCAGGACAUAUAUGCCUCAGUCUUAAACUCCCAGAGAUACAAGCCACCAAUUCAUAUUGUGAACAGAGUCAAAUCACCCCCAGCGAUGCCUUUGUCCAGUACAGCCCAUACUCCUCUAGCAAUUCCAGUAGCAAGCAGAGUUACAACUCCCCAAUCAGUUCCUGUUACAUAUCCAGCUACAACUGAACAAUCAAAAACAGUUAAAUCUGACAGAGCUAAUUCAGUGAAACGUUCACAAGGACCAAUUAGUGAUGGGAGCAAUAGAAACCAGAACAAUAGAUUCACUACCACCACUGAAGGAUCUGUGGCUAAGAUAUCACCCAAUGAGAUUUCAGCAUCAACAAUUGCUGCAAAUGAUCAUGCAGGUCCCAUGUCCAAAACUAAGACUGUAAUGUCGACAGAAUCUCCAACAGGGAAAGUUAAAAUGGAAGACAGAUUUGAAUGUGGAAUACCACCGGGGAACCAAAAGCAAGAAACUCAAUUAUCCCCCAAAAGUGGAACCACUAGUCUCAGUGGACACAACAUGACAACUAUUUCAGCAACACAGUUGUCUCCAAAUGGACAAACUUUGCCCGUGAUUUCAUCGCAAGUACCUCCUAAUACUGUUCGAACCCCACCUAUUUCAGCACCUGAAGCUACAUUGAACCCUGGAUACCCAGAAUCACCAGUACUUGGUUUACAUAAAGUUCUAGCACCAUUAAUAGAAAAGCAAAAGGCCCCAACAUCCAAAAAACCCAAAACACGUUCUACAUAUUACGGACUGACCCCAGCUGAGUACGUUGCCCAUGGUGGGAUCCGGGCAUAUUACGGCCCUUCCGCACCCAAGGUUAAUGAGUCAUUACUGUUACCAUCAACAACACAGUCUGACGAAUUACUAAACGGGCCAUCUCCUCCUAACAAUAAGCCUGACAUACCUUUCGCAGGUUCAAAAACUCCUGACAAUGAACUACUAAAAUCUACCUGGCCGAUGCAGUAUUCACCUGUUGCAGCACAUUCAUCCUCAACAAUUUCAGCUGAAACUGGCCUUUCUAAGACGCAAACAGAUAAUAAAUCGAUAUCUAAACUCAAUACAUCCCAAGUAAACAAGUCUGAAGUACUGGCUUAUGGAAUACACACUAAUUUCACACCUACGGUGGAUGUAACAAAACUGGAACAUUCAUUGGCUUUGGGACUGCAAACUAUUGAACCACCCCCCGGGGAAGCGCCCACACCAAAGGCCUCACAGUCUGAGGCAUCAAUACCAGUAUCUGAAGCAGGUGAGGUACACACAACAAAACAAGCAACUGAAACUUGUCCAUUCUCGAUAGGUAGUAGUGUUGUGUCAAAGUCCCUUCAUCCAUUCAUCAUUUCAGAUUCUGAAGUUCCAAAAAACCCAACUGUAGAGAGUAUGCCCGAACACAGUGGAAAGUUAGAGGCUGCUCCUGCAGUCAUGCAUCUUCCUGUCAAGUCUUAUUAUAGCCAAGACUCUAAUCUGGUCAGCAACCCUGACAUAAGAAGCCAACUCCCAAGUGAACCUAAGUUAGCAAAUAUACUAUCAGACAAACCUACCAUAGAUGCCAUACUACCUUGUAUGCCUUGUGCCUUAACCAAAGAAACAAAAUUCCCUUAUACCCUUACUAUUGAAACUAAACUGCCCACCAAACCUACUAUGAAAGGAAUACAGCUCCACAGUCCGCCUACCAAAACAGCUGAACUACCAAGCACACCUACAAAAAUAGCCCUACUACCCAGCCCGCCUACCAUAGUAGCCCAACUCUCCACCCCACCUACCCUAGGAUCCCAACUCCCCAGCUCACCUAACCUAGUAGCCCAACUGCCCAGCCCACCUAAUCUAGUAGGCCAACUCCCCAGCCCACCUAUCCAAUCAGCCCAACUCCCCAGCCCACCUAUCCAAUCAGCCCAACUCUCCAGCCUGUCUAACCUAGUAGCUCAACUCCCCAGCCCACCUAUCCAAACAGCCCAACUCCCCAGCUUGCUUACCCUAAUAGCCCAACUCCCCUGCCCACCUACCCAAAUUGCCCAACCCCCCAGCCCACCUACCCAAAAAGCCCAACCCCCCAGCCCACCUACCCAAAGACCCCAACUCCCUAGCCCUAUUCUAGUAGCCCAAAAUAUCAUUGAAACUAUAAAGCCCAGCACACUUACAUCAUCACGAACACAGCUGCCUACAAUGUCAACUCAAACUUUCAUAAGUCCUCCACUCCCUGCCACUGAAAUGAUUUUUCCCAGCUCCCCUGCCGUAAUAGCCAAACUGCACAGCCCACCUGCCAUAGACACCCAACUUCCUAGCACACCAGCUGUUGGAAGUCAACUUACUGGCUUCAAACCUACCAAUGAAAUGAAAGAUCCCAGCACACCUAUAUCAGGAACCAAAAUCCCAAGCAUGCCUGGCAUGGCAACUAUGUAUUCUAGCACAUCUACCACAGUGGCCCAAACCUCUAACAUUCCUACUACUGUUGCCCUACUCCAAAAUGUACCUGUCUCUGAAAGCCUUCUCCUCCACAUGCCCACCACUGCAGCCCAGUUCACUAGUAGCCCUAGCAUAGUAGCCCAACUCCAUAACACACCUUCAUUGGGAUGUGUACUUUCUGGCAAUUUUACCACAGAAAAUAUUCUGCAGAGUACAAUGCAAUACCAUGCAAAUCAUGCCAGAAUGCAUUUCAUAGAAACCAACUCUCACCAACCUAUCAAAAGCAGACAAUUAACAAACUCUCCCCUUGAUGAAAACCCCUCCAACAAGUCCAAUACUGAAAAACUAUCCUUAGAAAACUUACCACACAAAGGUAAACAACAUACAUUCUCUGCUGAAGCAAGCAUAGCUUUGCCCAAGCCUUCCCCAUAUCCUACACCUACUAAUGUAUCCAUUGAAGGUGCUCAGCCUUCCACAGAAAAAACACAACCGUUAAGCCCUAAUUUACAAGAUAAGCAUAGUAAGCGUGUCAUAGACACUAGUUCCGCCCCAAAACCGGUCGCAGACUUUAAACUUAAUAAAAACCCUACUAUUAUUCCGAAUUUUCCCACCACUCAAGAAAUCAAUUACAGACCACCCCCAGAUCUUACCAGUUCCACCAUUUCCACUGCAAAUGUACACUUUUCCUUAAAGCCUGAAAGUAGUGCCUCCCCGAAACCGGUUUCAGAGUAUCCUAACAAGCCUGCCUUAAAGAUCCUACCCUCUUCACCCCCACAUAGACGCUCCAGGCCAUGGUCAACCCCACCUACAGAAACUAAACAUGAUACAACAUUGGUAACAGAACCUGGUCCUUCUGAUAAACAUGCAAUAAAUACACAGGCCUCUAGAAAGCCUGGUGUGUCAGCUGACAUUUCUUUAAGCCCUGCAGCAGAAGCUAAACCAUUUCCACAGCAUAACUCUGAACCCAGUGCCUCCCAAAACUCUUCACCAGAACUUACACCAGCUAAUAUGCCUAAUAAUAAUAUAAAAUCUUCCACAGAACCUACCAUGGACACAAUAACCUCCUUAAGCCCAAUUACUGAAGCUAAACCAUGUACACUGCAAAAAGUAUUAACUAGUUCCUCCCCAACUUAUCUCCCAGAGGCCAAAUCAGCAAAUAUACCUAAAAUGAAUGUGCAGCCUUCAACAAACCUCACUGUAGAAAAAGAAACUCCCUUUAACCCCCUUGUUCAAGCUAAACAGUUUCAUCAGAUUAAUAUGGAAUUGAAUGUGUCUCCCAAUCCAUCCCUAGGCCAUAACACAGGUAACAAGCAUUCAGUAAAUGUAGAGUUUUCCUCAAAUGCUAAAAAAGAAACAAGAUCCUGCUUCAGCCCUACCAUAGAAACAAGACCUUGCUUCAGCCCUGCCAUAGAAACAAGAUCCUGCUUCAGCCCUACUAUAGAAACAAGACCCUGCUUCAGCCCUACCAUAGAAACAAGAUCCAGCUUCAGCCCUACUAUAGAAACAAGACCCUGCUUCAGCCCUACUAUAGAAACAAGACCCUGCUUCAGCCCUACCAUAGAAACGAGAUCCUGCUUCAGCCCUACUAUAGAAACAAAACCUUUUAUAAAUAAGUCUAGCGAAGCUAGACGCUGCUUUAGUCCAACUAGACCCUGGCUUAAUGCUUCUAUUGAAGCUAAACACUUGACAAAACCUCAUAUUGAAGCUAGUGCCUCCCCAAAACAAUCCCCAGGGCUGAAAUCAACAAAUGCCCCUAACACCAAUACACAGCCUCCUGCAAAUCCUGCCAUAGAACGUAUAUCUACCCCAACCCCUACUAUAGACACUGUGAUGAAACAACCUGCUGUUACCAAGGCUGAUCUGAUUGACUGUACCACUCCUGCCUCUCUGCCUCAGGCUUCAGCCUCAGCAAAAGCAGCUCCACCGUCCACAAACAGCGGAAGGUCAUUGCCAUCUCAGCAAAAGAAUGGACCAACAGACAAGAAAUCUCAGCAGAAGAAUGGUCAGACAGGCACGAAAUCUCAGCCAAAGAAUGGACGAAAAAACACGAUGCCAUCUCAGCCAGAGAAUGGACGCACUUGGACAGACACAAUGGAAGGUGUGGAAGCAAGUGCAUCAGGUGCACGAGGGACGCCAACACCCAGAGAGACACCCUCUAUGAAGUCUACGACAUCAACUGCAUCUUCGACUGUUGAUAAAAUACAUCCACACCAGAAAGACAUGGCCCAAUCUCCGUCUGCUAAACCUAGUCCUGCUAAAGCUGUGGUAAAUGCAAUGAAACCUAAAGGUCUGAUGGCCAAGUUCGGGGGCUGGUCACGACUGAAAAAGCACAUGGUGGUCGAGCCUGAGCAGCCUCAGUUCCCAGAGCCAAUACUUGAAUCUAAGUAUGCCAAAGACAACAAAAAGGCCACAGACCAGAGCAAAACUGGUGGAGUGUCAGCAGAUGUCAAAGACCACUCUGAAAAGGACAAGAAAUUAUUGAAGGAGUCAGAAGUGCCCAGAGCAAUGAAAAUGUGGGACGCCAUGCUUUUUCAGAUGUUCUCAACCAAGGACGCAAUAUUGCAGCAGAUUAGAGCUAGCAAAACUUCUGAUUCAUCUGACAAGACAAAGAAUAAGAAAAACAAGACAGACAGGAUGGGAAAAGACAAUCAGCAGAAAGAGGAUGAGCUAGAGGUUGUCCCUUCCUUUGCGAACCGUCUGCCACUUCUGCUGUACAGUCCACGGUUUAAUGCCAGGAAGCUAAAAGAGGCUGCAGAGAAGCCACUUGUGAAGAUGUCGGCAGUGUUCGAAAGAGGACUAAUCAACCGUAAAAAUCAGGAUGGGGAGGGGAAGGAUUUCAACAAAACCGCCAGAGGAUUUGGUACAUCCAAAACAACCAAUGUCUGACUUUAAACUCACGCCAGAGUAUUCAUGCAUAGGCCUAUGUACUGGGAUAUACAGUUGAGAUUGGUAGCAAUUGUAGAUUGACAAUGAUUACAUGCUAAAUGUACUCCAUAAUGAAAUAUAAUAAUAAUAAUAAUAAGAUCAUUAUGUGGUGUCUAAGAUCAUUAUAAUGUCGGUUGCAUGCAAAAAUAGAGUCAGGUUUUGUUUACAAUGCUAUAUAUGAAAUCUCUUGAGAAUAUUUUUUUUACGCGCUGCUAGUCUUAGUCUUAGAGAGUGUAGACCGGGUGGGGUUAUGGAUUGAGUGUCUGACGUCGGUGUGUGAUAAAUAGGGCUCGUACAUUCCUGGAUUGACGGGACAGAAGGGCAUUGGAUGAUGGAACAGUGCAGCUGUGAGAGAGGGACACGCACAACUACAUCAGACUAGAGGGACAACUCGACCUUGGAACACAACACAACAAAUGGUGAUUGGUACAGAUAUGCAAUCUGAAAUUCUUCCAAGUGUUCUAUGAUGUACAGUAAUGAUGGUAAUGGGCACAGCUGCAGAAGGCAGAUCUGAUAUACGUCGAGUCUGAGAAGGUGUGUGGUUUAAAUAAAGUCAGAGGAAGGACAUGUUGUCCCUACUGGAAAUGAAUGUUAAGUAGCUACGCAUUUAACAAAUGACAAAAAAAAAAAAAGAAUUGUAUGAAAAGCUUUUUCAGUUUUGAGUUUUAUUAAAAAAUAUAUUGGAAUGGCAAAUGGAAUGUAUAACAAAAAUAUUGUGCCGCAUUUCCAGUAGGGAUAGAAAGACCAUUUUAGACAUGUUUAGGACCUGUGCAGAGAGGAAACGUCCGCCAGAAAAUAAAUGGACAUUAAUUCUUAUGAGACAUAGUGAAUUAAUUAGGAUUGCUGAAUGAUAAGAUUGCAGAAUGGAUAAUAAUGAAGUAAUGAAAGAUAACGGCGACGAACAACAGACGGGUCUUUAGGACAUAGGAAGAGAUACAAGAAUCCAUGGAAAAUAUUAGUUAAUGGUAAAAGGUGACAUUGGAAGAUGGGUUUGUUGUUGAUGAUGAUACAGUUGGUGUUUUUGAUUAAGCUGUUUAUUAUUUUGCAUCUAGGGUAAGAUCCCAAUUGGGAAAUGGAAAGAGAGAGUGUGAUGCUACUUCCGCUUUUGAAUGUUAACAUAUAAAUAUAUUAUCUUAUUAUCUUAACUGCUCCUCCACAUUUACUGGGUUGGUUGAACUGUAUAGAAGGAUACCUACCACAACAGUAUAUUUUCUUAUCAUCAAAACCAGUAUGUGGUGGAUAUAGUUUCAAACAGAUCUGUGAAUACUGGCAAUAUUCAGUUACUAGUAGUUUUCUUAGGCAUGUUUUUAUUAAUAUGAGUUCAAUAAAUUCUCUGAAAUCUUCUUGCUGUUAACAAUAUUGUUUGCAUUUUUUGUAACUUAAUGAUGUUUUGUGGUAGUUAUUUGAUGCUUCUCAGGUCUUUUUAAUUAAAUUUUGGACAGAAAAGUUAUAUUUUGGAUAUAUUUAUUUACAGUGGUGAAUCCAAAUGAGCUAACCAUUAUCACAUUGCUGCUUUAGACUUGCUGGUUGUGUGUUCAUUAUUUUGUAUAGAACUGUACAGUGUAUAAUGCUCUUGGCAACUGUGUGAUUGACUGAUAGAUUGCUCAUUGUCUACAUCAAAGUAAACUCUAAGCUUUUGUACGUGUCAUCAGUGUGGUGGUUUGUGAAGCCUGUGUUCAAUGUUGACUUAUUCAAGAUGACUGAUGUACUUCUAGUGAUGUCUUAUGCUAAGACAUGACGACACACACUCGCUUUGGCCUAAAAACUAAGGGUCAAGACAAAAAUAUAUAUCUCAGGAGUGCCCAUUUUACUCACUCAUGGAAACACAUUGUCAAAAAUUAUUUGAAGAUCAUUUUUGGAUUAAUCGAUCCAAAAUGUCAGACUUUAAUUUCAGUGAUCUUCAUUUGUUUUGAAAACGUUUGAAAUUG